UGUUCGAGCGUCAUUUCAACCCUCAAGCUCUGCUUGGUAUUGGAUGCCAUCACUUGUGGUGCACCUCAAAAGUAUUGGCGGUAGUACUUCAGCUCCAUGUGCAGUAAUUUUCUCGCUUGGAGUCUGGAGGGCUACCUGCUGGAACACCCAAAUUUAUCAAGGUUGACCUCGGAUCAGGUAGGGAUACCCGCUGAACUUAA
rnacentral:misc_RNA from 1 species